rnacentral:rRNA from 1 species
UUUUUGAUUAAUAAUUUAAAGUCUAAUCUGCCCACUGAUAAUAUAUUAAAGGGCUGCAGUAUUUUGACUGUACAAAGGUAGCAUAAUCAUUAGUCUCUUAAUUGGUGACUUGUAUGAAAGAUUUGAUGAAAUAUAUACUGUCUCUUUUUAAUUUAUAAAAUUUAAUUUUUUAGUUAAAAAGCUAAAAUUUAUUUAAAAGACGAGAAGACCCUAUAGAGUUUUAUAUUUAUAUAAAUUAGAAUUUUUUAUAAGAUUUAAAAUUUUAAUUUAUAUAAAUAUUUUAUUGGGGUGAUAGAAAAAUUAAAAUAACUUUUUUUAUAAUUUUACAUUAAUAAAUGAAUAAAUGAUCCGUAAUUUACGAUUAUAAGAUAAAAUUACCUUAGGGAUAACAGCGUAAUUUUUUUUUUUAGUUCAAAUAAGAAAAAAAGUUUGCGACCUCGAUGUUGGAUUAAGAUAAAAUUUAAAUGCAAAAGUUUAAAGUUUUUGAUCUGUUCGAUCAUUAAAAUCUUACA